UACGUAGGGUGCAAGCGUUAUCCGGAAUUAUUGGGCGUAAAGAGCUCGUAGGCGGUUUGUCGCGUCUGCUGUGAAAUCCCGAGGCUCAACCUCGGGCCUGCAGUGGGUACGGGCAGACUAGAGUGCGGUAGGGGAGCAUGGAAUUCCUGGUGUAGCGGUGAAAUGCGCAGAUAUCAGGAGGAACACCAGUGGCGAAGGCGGUGCCUCUGG
rnacentral:rRNA from 1 species